rnacentral:rRNA from 1 species
GAUGAACGCUAGCGGCAGGCCUAACACAUGCAAGUCGAGGGGUAACAGAGAAGCUUGCUUCUGCUGACGACCGGCGCACGGGUGCGUAACGCGUAUGCAACCUACCUCAUACAGGAGAAUAGCCCUUGGAAACGAGGAUUAAUACUCCAUGGUAUCAUUCUUUCGCAUGUUAGAAUGAUUAAAGAAUUUCGGUAUGAGAUGGGCAUGCGUCCCAUUAGCUUGUUGGUGAGGUAACGGCUCACCAAGGCAACGAUGGGUAGGGGGCCUGAGAGGGUGGUCCCCCACACUGGUACUGAGACACGGACCAGACUCCUACGGGAGGCAGCAGUGAGGAAUAUUGGUCAAUGGAGGAAACUCUGAACCAGCCAUGCCGCGUGAAGGAUGACGGCCCUAUGGGUUGUAAACUUCUUUUAUAUGGGAAGAAACUUAUCUACGUGUAGAUAACUGACGGUACCAUACGAAUAAGGAUCGGCUAACUCCGUG